rnacentral:snoRNA from 1 species
AAACCAUGGUGAGGGCACCUUCGCAAUAAGUCAUUGUAUCUCUCCCAUGCAUCAAAACGAGUUUCUAGAUCCAUCUGCACAAAAGAAGAAAUAUCAUUCCUUAAUUU